AAAGGGAGACCUAAUUCGGGUAGGAGACGAAAAAAAAGUAGUCCCUACCAAGAAUCAAUCCCAAAAGGUCGGAGCGAGGCGAAAUUGGCUUUCAAACUAGGUUCUGGGUUCACACAAGACCUGAAUCAGGAACAAGGGCUAUUAGCUCAGGUGGUUAGAGCGCACCCCUGAUAAGGGUGAGGUCCCUGGUUCGAGUCCAGGAUGGCCCACCUGCACAGGUGGCAAAAAGAAAGAAAAGAAGCGAGGAAUCAGCACCUUAUCUUACUUAUAUAGUAAGAGAGAAUGCUGGCUCUGAGUACAGAGUCCAGAGGAACCUUGAAAACUGCAUAGAGCUAGGUGAAAAAGCCAAAAAAGAAGACCGCAAG
rnacentral:tRNA from 1 species